GGGGGGGGGGGGGGGGGGGGGGGGGGGGGGGGGGGGGGGGGGGGGGGGGGGGGGGGGGGGGGGGGGGGGGUGGCGCGGCGGGGCGGGGGCUCCAGGAAAGAGGCGUGGUCUGGGGAGGGGGCGUGGCCAGGGAGGCGGCCGCGCCCCCGGUUCCUGCGUGGUUCUCGUGGUUUCCCGUGUCCCCGCCACCCUCUCCAGGAGACACAGGAGGCGUUCCGGAUUGAAAACCUUCGGUGACACUCUGCCACCUACGUGGAAGGGCCGCAGUGUAGCAUGGAAACUUGAUAAUGUCUCCGGGACGCACUGUGAGGAUCCCCGCCCGCCGCGGAGAGAACGUAACCGGGUGGUCUCCUCCAGCCAGCCCGGCAGGAUCUCCGUGCGGGAUAGACAGCCACGCAGGGCCGUGCGACACCGUUGGGGAAGACACCUCAGGACUUAGCAGGGUUCAGCCCAGUCCACAAGCCAUCCAGGGGUGACACAAGGACACUGGCAGGCGGCCGGUCCGCAGAAAGGUUGGAAGCAAAAUGCAGGUGACUGCGCUGCUGGAGGAGUGAGUAACCUCCCUCGUAGAGAGCACUCUGUUCUGCCAGCACCGUGACUACUCAGCACUGCUGCGGUGUGGCUCAGACCCGUCCUCACACUCACACACAGCACAGACCACAAGGGAGUUCCUGCCCCCCUAUCGUACACGCGUUGUUUUUCGGCAAUGUUUAGUCCCAGCUUACCCAGGUGCGUCCCCCAGAAAUCAAGAGGGCUCUGUGCCCCCCAACUUGUGGCUUCACCGUGGAAACAGGGGCGGCGCGGAGCCGCGGCGUUCUCGGCGGCAGCGCAGGCGUCGGGAGCUGCGUGCGGUCGGUGGCGAGGCCGGGAGGCGCCGGGCGGUGAGCGCCUCCUUCCUGCCCUGGCGGCGAGGCGAGCGCGGGGCCACAGCUGCGGCAGCAGCGCCAUGUGCCAGCGCCGCCGCGAGGGACCGGGGAGCCGGCACCUGGCAGCGCCGAGCGGAGCCGGGGGCUGCUGCCACCCCCGCGGGGGCUGCGAGCACCCCGGCACGGCAGCGCCCCAGAGAUUAGGGCUGGCAGCUCUGCAGCUGUGCACCUGCAGCUGCUCUAUCGUGGUCUGUGGGUGAAGGCUGUCCCCAUGGAGUUGUUUGCCACAAACUCUGAUUCCUUCCCUCACAGGCAGCUUCAAACACCACACUGACUCCUUUCCUUACAGGCUGCUCCACUCAGCACGGACGCCUUCUUUCCUCUCUGCGAGUUUCCUUCUUCCCUCUACAAGACUGCCUAAACCGCAAGCUGUUCCUGAGCCGGCCGCAUAACCCUGACUGUGCCUUACACAGGAUGCUUUUGAACUUGUCUGUCCCUUACCCCCUCAAAAUACAACCAGCAGAGACUC
rnacentral:lncRNA from 12 species